rnacentral:rRNA from 1 species
GACGAACGCUGGCGGCGUGCUUAACACAUGCAAGUCGAACGGAAAGGCCCUGCUUUUGUGGGGUGCUCGAGUGGCGAGCGGGUGAGUAACACGUGAGUAACCUGCCCUUGACUUUGGGAUAACUUCAGGAAACUGGGGCUAAUACCGGAUAGGAGCUCCUGCUGCAUGGUGGGGGUUGGAAAGUUUCGGCGGUUGGGGAUGGACUCGCGGCUUAUCAGCUUGUUGGUGGGGUAGUGGCUUACCAAGGCUUUGACGGGUAGCCGGCCUGAGAGGGUGACCGGCCAACUUGGGAACGGGGUACCGCCCAGGAUGCUACCGGGGGGAAGAGGGGGGAAUUAUUGCCCAUGGGGCGAAGCCCGAUGCCGGCACCGCGCGUGCGGGAAGGAGGGCUUUCGGGUGGAAAACCGUUUUGGCCGUUGCCGAGCCGGGGUGGAGGUAAUGGGUUAAGGAGCAACGGGCAAAUUACUG